rnacentral:rRNA from 2 species
UGCGCAGGCGGUUAUAUAAGACAGAUGUGAAAUCCCCGGGCUCAACCUGGGAACUGCAUUUGUGACUGUAUAGCUAGAGUACGGCAGAGGGGGAUGGAAUUCCGCGUGUAGCAGUGAAAUGCGUAGAUAUGCGGAGGAACACCGAUGGCGAAGGCAAUCCCCUGGGCCUGUACUGACGCUCAUGCACGAAAGCGUGGGGAGCAAACA